rnacentral:rRNA from 1 species
UACAGAGGAGGCAAGCGUUGUCCGGAUUUAUUGGGCGUAAAGAGCGUGUAGGCGGCUUGGUAGGUCCGCUGUGAAAACUCGAGGCUCAACCUCGAGACGUCGGUUGAAACCAUCUGGCUAGAGUCCGGAAGAGGAGUGUGGAAUUCCCGGUGUAGCGGUGAAAUGCGCAGAUAUCGGGAAGAACACCCGUGGCGAAGGCGGCACUCUGGGACGGUACUGACGCUGAGACGCGAAAGCGUGGGGAGCGAACAGG